CCGGCGACGGGGAGCGCCGGAUCCGCUUCCCCCCUUACGAAGGGGGGAUACAGGGGGGUGCUUGGAUCGCCUCGGCCGGCCC
rnacentral:tRNA from 1 species